rnacentral:rRNA from 1 species
AUUGAACGCUGGCGGCAGGCCUAACACAUGCAAGUCGAACGAGUGGCGGACGGGUGAGUAAUGUCUGGGAAACUGCCUGAUGGAGGGGGAUAACUACUGGAAACGGUAGCUAAUACCGCAUACCAUCAUAUGUGCCCUGAUGGGAUUCGCUUGUUGGUGGGGUAACGGCUCACCAAGGCGACGAUCCCUAGCUGGUCCGAGAGGCUGAACAGCCACACGGGAACUGAGACACGGACCAGACUCCUACGGGAGGCAGCAGUGGGGAAUAUUGCACAAUGGGCGCAAGCCUGAUGCAGCCAUGACGCGUGUAUGAAGAAGGCCUUAGGGUUGUAAAGUACUUUCAGUGGGGAGGCGUUACCCGCAGAAGAAGCACCGGCUAACUCCGUGCCAGCAGCCGCGGUAAUUC